rnacentral:rRNA from 1 species
AUUGAACGCUGGCGGCAGGCUUAACACAUGCAAGUCGAGCGAGCGGAGGACGGGUGAGUAAUGUCUGGGAAACUGCCUGAUGGAGGGGGAUAACUACUGAAAACGGUAGCUAAUACAGCAUACCAUACGAUGUGCCCAGAUGGGGUUAGCUAGUAGGGGUGGUAAUGGCUCACCUAGGCGACGAUCCCUAGCUGGUCUGAGAGGAUGACCAGACACACUGGAACUGAGACACGGUCCAGACUCCGACGGUAGGCAGCAGUGGGGAAUAUGGCACAAUGGGCGCAAGCCUGAUGCAGCCAUGCCGCGUGUGUGAAGAAGGCCUUCGGGUUGUAAAGCACUUUCAGCGAGGAGGCGUUACUCGCAGAAGAAGCACCGGCUAACUCCGUGCCAGCAGCCGCGGUAAUAC